rnacentral:rRNA from 1 species
UACGAAGGGGGCUAGCGUUGUUCGGAAUUACUGGGCGUAAAGCGCACGUAGGCGGAUUGAUAAGUUAGAGGUGAAAUCCCGGGGCUCAACCUCGGAACUGCCUUUGAUACUGUUAGUCUCGAGUCCGAUAGAGGUGAGUGGAAUUCCUAGUGUAGAGGUGAAAUUCGUAGAUAUUGGGAAGAACACCAGUGGCGGAGGCGGCUCACUGGAUCGGUACUGACGCUGAGGUGCGAAAGCGUGGGGAGCAAACAGG